UGGGGAAUAUUGGACAAUGGGGGGAACCCUGAUCCAGCCAUGUCGCGUGUGUGAAGAAGGCCUUAUGGUUGUAAAGCACUUUAAGCGAGGAGGAGGGUACUGGUAUUAAUACUACCAGGUACUGGACGUUACUCGCAGAAUAAGCACCGGCUAACUCUGUGCCAGCAGCCGCGGUAAUACAGAGGGUGCAAGCGUUAAUCGGAAUUACUGGGCGUAAAGCGCGCGUAGGUGGUUCGUUAAGUUGAAUGUGAAAGCCCCGGGCUCAACCUGGGAACUGCAUCCAAAACUGGCGAGCUAGAGUAGGGCAGAGGGUGGUGGAAUUUCCUGUGUAGCGGUGAAAUGCGUAGAUAUAGGAAGGAACACCAGUGGCGAAGGCGACCACCUGGGCUCAUACUGACACUGAGGUGCGAAAGCGUGGGGAGCAAACAGG
rnacentral:rRNA from 1 species